GGUCCUCAGCAAGGCUAUCCUCAGCAGCCAGAUCCUUAUGCUAGGCCUCCAUACAGUGGACCUGGACAAUGGGCGCCCCCCAGAGGUGCUCCGGCUGCAGAUGGCUCCUACCAGGCACCACCACCUGCAUCUUAUGGUCCACCCUCCCAGCAACCUCCUGCUUAUGGCCAAACAUAUGGCGCAGCAACAGGACCUGAUGGGUAUGCUCAACAGGGCUACCCACAGCAGGGUGGGCAAGCACCGGCCCCGUACGGCCAGAGUGCACCAGCAGCACAAGGCUAUCCUCAGCAAGGCGCACAGCAAGGUGGCUAUGUGCAGUACCCGCAAACCCAACCAGCAUAUGGUGAUCAAGCAGCUCAAGCCAACGCGAACUAUGGUUACCAGGGAGCUCCAGCAGACCCCAACUAUGGAAAUGCCUACCCACAGUCAGGAUAUGGACCUGCUCCUGCAGUCGGUCAGGCUGGUUAUGCUUCUGCACCAGCAGCUGGCCAGCCUGCAGCAUAUGGCCAGGCAGGAUACACCCAGCCACCUGCAAACCCUCCAAGUUAUGAUCAGUCUGCAGCAGCACCAGCUCAGACCGGAUAUACUGCACCGGCCGCAAAUCCACAGCCUGCUCCAGCAAAGGGGGUGUCGCCACAGCCUGCUGCUGCUGGAUAUGGUGGUGGGCAGUGGACAGGAUGAACCAUAUUUCUCAAACUUAACUGACAGUGAGAUCUUGUUGGAUGCGUAUUCCAAUGAUCAGAUCUUUUGGAUGUUUCUGUGGAUGCAAUGGGUGGCGCUUGAGUUUUGUUAUCUGGAAGAGAUUGUAACCCCCCAAUUUGUA
rnacentral:lncRNA from 1 species